GCUGCAUAAUUCUUUUAGAAUUUUGGAAUUGUAUGAAAAUUUUAAUAAAUAAUAAUUAGCACUUUUUAUUAUUAUAUCAAUUUCAGAUAAAGGAAGGAAGAUGUUUUAGAGAGAGAUAAUUCCCAAAACAAUGUGAGAUUACAGAUUAUGGAAGAUUGCUGGGCAUUAUGACAAACAAAGGUAUCAAGGAGGAAAAUGAACAAUGUAGGUCAGCAGUCAAAAUCUCUCAACUUAUUCAACUCUUAGCAGCAUGUUCCUAUGGAUCCAGAUGCAUUAAAAGAUUUCUAUUGUGUUGCAACCAAUGGAAUAGGCUAAGAAUCACACUGUUUUGCCUCUGUCACCAAAGACUGAAAUGUUUACUUCAAAAGACCUUCACCUGCAGUUAUUAAUAUUUCAACAAAGUUCGUGGCCCAAAAAAGCUUGCAGUUGAAAAGGAAAGGAAAGAUAAAAAAAAUUCACUAUGUCAUAGAAGCUAGCUU